UGCGAUUACAUGGUUUGCUUGUUCGUAUUACAGAAGUCAUUUAAUACAAAUACAAGUAAAUAAAACAUGAAACCUUAAUUUACGCUUCUUCUUUACGUUCAUGAUCUUGUUAUCAUUCUUCUUUAACUGCAAAUAAAGUUUUAUUUGCAAGAAUAAGCACUACAACUCAUCAAGUCUAACAAAUAACACAUACACAGUUUAUACUUUCAUAUAAACUUUAGCAUGCUUUGACUUGUCAUAUUCCUCAAUUUAAUAUCACAGUUAACUUUCAUUACAACAAUUUAUAUCACAUUGUCACACAAAGCGUAUAAAUCAGGUUCAUAAUUUGUAAACAUAACACAUAACAGUUAAAAGACUUGCCUCGUAUAUCUUUUACAGAUUAUAUAUUAAGGAUUAAACGCUCGUCGUAAAUCCUACACGAUUAUAAGUUCAUGUAGAAUAAUUAAGCAUUUAACGAUUAAAUCUUUUAAGUUUUAUUUCGGGUAUUAUAACCGCUUAUAAAUAAGACUUCUUACUAUACGUGAAAUAAUUUCAGCAUUAUAAUUGCUUAUAAAAUGAAUAUUCAUCGAUCUAUAUUUAAAAUAAAUUGAGCAUUAUAACUGUUUGUAAAAUGAAUAUUCUUACUAAAUACUUGAAGAAAAUCGAACAUAGUAACUGCUUAUAAAAGUAUAUUUUUACUAAUUAUAUAAAGAAGGAUGAAAAUAAUAACCACUAGAGUAAUACCUCUUGAAGUUGCAAGCUUUUCGAUACUUGAAAAUGCAAGACUUUAGUUUUCCUUCCUUCUCUUAAUUAUCCAUAUUACUCUCUUAUGAUUAC
rnacentral:lncRNA from 1 species